rnacentral:rRNA from 1 species
AGAGUUUGAUCCUGGCUCAGAACGAACGCUGGCGGCGUGCUUAACACAUGCAAGUCGAGUGCGCGGUUGUAGCAAUACAACUGGCGCACGGCGCACGGGUGCGUAACACGUGGGCAAUCUGCCCUCCGAUGGGGAAUAACUCCGGGAAACCGAAGCUAAUUCCGCAUAACAUUCCCUGGACUCCGGUUUGGGGAUUCAAAGCAGCAAUGCGUCGGAGGAGGAGCCCGCGCCCGAUUAGCUAGUUGGUGAGGUAACGGCUCACCAAGGCAAUGAUCGGUAGCUGGUCUGAGAGGAUGGCCAGCCACACUGGAACUGAGACACGGUCCAGACUCCUACGGGAGGCAGCAGUGGGGAAUCCUGCGCAAUGGGCGAAAGCCUGACGCAGCGACGCCGCGUGGGGGAUGAAGCUUCUCGGAGUGUAAACCCCUUUCGACUGGGACGAAUGCCUCGCAAGAGGAGUGACGGUACCAGUAGAAGAAGCCCCGGCUAACUACGUGCCAGCAGCCGCGGUAAGACGUAGGGGGCCAGCGUUGUUCGGAAUUACUGGGUGUAAAGGGUUCGUAGGCGGUGUGGCAAGUCGGGAGUGAAAUUUCUGGGCUUAACUCAGAACCUGCUUCCGAAACUGCUGUGCUAGAGUGUGGGAGAGGCGCGUGGAAUUGCAGGUGUAGCGGUGAAAUGCGUAGAUAUCUGCAGGAACACCCGUGGCGAAAGCGGCGCGCUGGACCAUUACUGACGCUGAGGAACGAAAGCUAGGGGAGCAAACAGGAUUAGAUACCCUGGUAGUCCUAGCCCUAAACGAUCAGGACUUGGGGUGCCACCCGUUCGGGUGUCGUCCCGGAGCUAACGCGUUAAGUCCUGCACCUGGGGAGUACGGUCGCAAGACUGAACUCAAAGGAAUUGACGGGGGCCCGCACAAGCGGUGGAACAUGUGGUUCAAUUCGACGCUACGCGAGGAACCUUACCUGGGCUCGAAAUGCUUCUGACCAGCUGUA